GGUUUUGGGCCUGCUGCAAAGCACAAUGAAGCCAACAGGAGUCUUUUCCAUUGACUCCAAUGAGUUUUGCAUCAGGCCCUCUAUCC
rnacentral:pre_miRNA from 1 species